rnacentral:rRNA from 1 species
AUACGUAGGGUGCAAGCGUUAAUCGGAAUUACUGGGCGUAAAGGGUGCGCAGGCGGUUUAUCAAGAAAGGUGUGAAAUCCCCGGGCUCAACCUGGGAAUGGCACUUUUAACUGAUAUGCUAGAGUAUGUCAGAGGGGGGUAGAAUUCCACGUGUAGCAGUGAAAUGCGUAGAGAUGUGGAGGAAUACCGAUGGCGAAGGCAGCCCCCUGGGAUAAUAAUGACGCUCAUGCACGAAAGCGUGGGGAGCAAACAGGAUUAGAUACCCUGGUAGUCCACGCCCUAAACGAUGUCAACUAGCUGUUGGGGCCUUCGGGCCUUAGUAGCGCAGCUAACGCGUGAAGUUGACCGCCUGGGGACUACGGUCGCAAGACUAAAACUCAAAUGAAUUGACGGGG